UACCCGUCAGUGGUAUGCAAGUUAAAAUAAUAGGCUAAUUGCCCCAGGUUAGGUGAGAAGGACAACGGUCUCACCACUGCUAUUGCUGAGGAUUGCGGCAUCACGUCCUUACCUUAUGAGGGAAUAUGGGAUAACUGAUCUUCUGUAUGAGGGAAACGAAUUUCAACUUGACCGACAGCCUCAAGAUAAACCUGGCCAUUUCCAGACUAAAUAACUACUUGGCGCGAGUUCCCCACUCAAGUAUACUUUCUUGUCC
rnacentral:sRNA from 2 species